rnacentral:rRNA from 1 species
UCAGUUCGGAUUGUAGUCUGCAACUCGACUACAUGAAGCUGGAAUCGCUAGUAAUCGCGAAUCAGAAUGUCGCGGUGAAUACGUUCCCGGGUCUUGUACACACCGCCCGUCACACCAUGGGAGUUGGGAAUGCCCGAAGCCGGUGACCUAACCGAAAGGGAGGAGCCGUCGAAGGCAGGCUUGAUAACUGGGGUGAAGUCGUAACAAGGUAGC